rnacentral:rRNA from 1 species
CCCCUUAAACACCUGCUACUAUUCAACGGAGGUAAAGGGACAGUUUGUACGGGCGGUAUCGUGCCGACAAGCGAGCAAGUGUACAUAUAGUAAGUGUGGAGCCUUGGAGUGUCGUCAGGGGUCGGGGUUUUUGGUACUAGUGGCUAAGUCAACCAGUGACCUCGGAAGGGUUUAGAAUAACAGGCUACGGAGGAGCCGCAACGACCAAGAAUCGGAUGCAAACCACCGACGGUGACUACUAAUACCGCCGCCGCCUGGUCGUUCCCCUUCCGACGGGCCGGUUCUCCACGCCCCUGAAGUGGUAGAGAGUAGGUAAGACCGAGCGACUGUUGUUCUGGCCUUCUAGUACACCGGGGAACCUAAAACUCCAGUAAACGGCAUCGUUGCCGUCGGGUCAGGAAGCCUCGAGACCCCUGCUGCCUAAACGUUAGUAGGCGUAGUGGAUGCUCCUUGCCUCAAACGCGCAGCAGCUAGAUAUGUUCGCCUUAGUGAACGUGUUGUUGUGGUUGUCGACGGUACAAGGCUCGACCUUGCGGAGGCUGGUUGACCCGGCGGACAAAUCCCAACUUGGGUAGUUAGACUUCGAGCAGAACAUGUUAACGUGCUUCCGCCUCCGCCGCCGCCACCGUGCAGUCCUGUCCCGCGACCACGGUUAUUCUACGCCGUUGUUCUCGUUGCGUAAACAGGCGCGUCCUCCCGCAAUACUACCAUGGCUACUGAUACGGUCUAUGGUAUACCUUCCGACACUUCGGUGGCAGCACGGCCACGACCCGCAAGUACCGUACCGCUUACGCUCGUUGAUGCUCGUCGAAUAGUCACCACCUAAGGAGGAGUGUACCGUCUGGCUAUGUCCAUGUCCACGUUUCCUACAACCUUAUUUCAUACAGUGUCCUUAGUGUUCACGACAAGACAAACAGUAGUAUGACCCUGAGCACACGGUAGAGUAUGUUGAGUUAGCUCGGUUCUUGUUCUUUGCUAGACGCAGUCACCUGCCGGAGAAGGCACUUCCUAGCGGCGACCGUAGCGAGGCGUUCCUCAAGUUGCCGGAACGGCCGAGCGGCACGUGGGUGUAGAAGUGGAUGCUCCUCGAGCUGCGCCGGUGGCUGCCGAAGCCGUUGCGGUUACUCGAGCCGCGGCCGCCGAAGCCCUGUGAGAUGUUUCCCCAAAAGGCCCUGCCCUCGCACCACCGCCACUUCGCCGACAUGUUCUUGUCGAUGUUCCCGCACCUCGUCAAGCGGUUGCUCCACCUGUAGGAGAGUGCGGACGCGGUGGGGUUGGAGCAGCGCGAGAUGCCGACGUGGAGGAGGAGGGCGCUGGAGGAGGAGCAGAUGCUCAAGCAGGGGUUGCCGUGCGAGCGGCUGGUGGAGGUGGUGCCGUUCCUGCCGCCGCCGCUGUGGGAGUACGAGCGCACCGGCUGGGCCGAGCCGUAGCGGCAGCUCUGCCGGCGGCGCGACCGGAUGGAGGUGCGCGUGGUUCAGGACGUGGCGCUGCAGUUCUGCUGGUUGUAGGAGGAGCUGCUGCCCAAGGUGCAGUUCCACCGGCUGAAGCCCGACAGGGCCGACAAGGGCCGGCUGCCGCGGUGCGUCGUGCACAGGUGCCGCGGCGUCCCGUGGGGGCCCAUGCAGCUGGGCCGCAUGGUUGCGGCCAUGGUCGAGUGCCUGUUCUCGCUGCACAUGUCGAAGCCGCACCACGAGCAGCUCGAGCACAGGAGGUCCGGCCGCCACCUGUACCGGGUCCGGCUGUGGCUGCACUUGGACCGUACGUACCGGCACGCGUACUAUGUUACGACGCUCUAGCUGGCCGACCAGCUGGGCGCCGAGCCCAUGCCCAGCAGCCGCUCGCUCUGCUUCCCCUGCUAGCUGUACCAGCGGCUCCACCGCAAGGCCACGGACGUCGGCCUCGUCCUGCACGCCGGCAGGUAGCCGCUCCACGACCUGCACGAGUCUGUCCGAGUAGUGUCGUAAUGGCUCUUCCACUGGACGCGCAGGUGACUACCGCGCCACAACCACUUCUUCUCGUCUCUGCCUAGCGGACUGAGGCACUACUUGGUCACCUAGUCGGGUAGUUGGUGGAAGUUAAUAUCGUCAACU